rnacentral:misc_RNA from 1 species
CCUGGUUCACCCCUGCAUCAGCCUUCUGUUGUAGAGAAGGAGGUAAGUGGCUACCAAGAACCAGGAUCUGGUAGGGCAAGAAGGGAUGCUGCAGCUCGUGCUAUGCAGGGUUGGCAUGCCCAACGUCUUCUUGGAUAUGGCGAAGUUAGUGAGCCAAUUAUUAAGGACAAGAGCCUCAAUUCUACACCAAGGCGUGAAAAACCCUUAAAAAGCAUUGGUCUGCAUAAACAGAAGACUAACCUGGAGCAUUCCGAAAUAACUGCAAAUAUUGAAACAGAUAAAGAACUGGAUAUAGAAAUUGUUGAUGUUGGACCCCCUGCUGAUUGGGUGAAGAUCAAUGUGCGGGAAUCUAAAGAUUGCUUUGAGGUUUAUGCUCUAGUCCCUGGGCUUCUGCGAGAGGAGGUGCGAGUUCAAUCAGAUCCUGCUGGACGCCUGGUUAUAACAGGUCAACCUGAGCAGCUUGACAAUCCCUGGGGCAUAACACCCUUCAAGAAGGUCAUAAGCUUACCUUCAAGAAUUGAUCCACUUCAGACGUCUGCUGUUGUUAGCCUUCAUGGCCGACUCUAUGUUCGUGUNUCCUUUUGACCGAGUAUCAGCUUGAGUUUCUCGUUUCUGUGAGCCUGAUAAACAUCUUCAAGGGUAAACAUUUUAAAUCGUUGGCAGGGACAGAAAGAAGGUCAAAAUUGCAAUGAGGGCAUUGUGAGACAUUUGUUUCUUUGUUAAAUAGUUCAAACCACCAGA